rnacentral:ribozyme from 1 species
ACGUCAACUCAAUCAUCGACAAGCGCGAGAUCCGGCGCUCGGAAAGCAUCGACCGCGGUCCAGCCCCGCCCCCACCCCCCCCUGGCCCUCCACCUGGCCCUCCUCCUGGA